AGCAGACAUUUAAAAAAAAAUAGUCAUAUGUACUUCACAGUGGCACAAGAUUCUUCAGAUAAACAGUGCAGUGCGAUCAAAGAGGAAGAAGGUGUGAAAAGAAAUACAACGGAGACUGCCUGCUUCACAAUAAGUAGUACAAGAUGGAAAGCAAGACCGCUGUCUUUUUUUUUAAUAACCUUCCUGUGAGUGCAGACCAGGAGACUAUGAGUAAGGUCAGCCAGAGUCACCCCUUCAUGUGUAAUGCAUGCAAG